CAUAAAUACUGUAUUGUCUAAAAUGACUUAUCUUAGCAGCAACUUGGGCUCAGAUUGAUCGUACAGUUCAUCAACUUCUCAGCAUGCUGGAUAAUGAAUGUUUCAUUUACAUUGCUAAUUGACAAGCCAUGGUUCCUCCAACCUUUAACCCUUAAGAUUUAUCACAGUAUCACCAUAUGUCAAUAUAAUUGCAUUUAACUUCCUCGAUUAAAAAACAAACAAAACAAAAGCUUUGCUAGUUGCAGAAGAACAU
rnacentral:sRNA from 1 species